GAUGAACGCUGGCGGCGUGCCUAAUACAUGCAGGUCGAGCGGACAGACGAGGAGCUUGCUCCUCUGACGUUAGCGGCGGACGGGUGAGUAACACGUGGAUAACCUACCUAUAAGACUGGGAUAACUUCGGGAAACCGGAGCUAAUACCGGAUAAUAUAUUGAACCGCAUGGUUCAAUAGUGAAAGACGGUUUUGCUGUCACUUAUAGAUGGAUCCGCGCCGCAUUAGCUAGUUGGUAAGGUAACGGCUUACCAAGGCAACGAUGCGUAGCCGACCUGAGAGGGUGAUCGGCCACACUGGAACUGAGACACGGUCCAGACUCCUACGGGAGGCAGCAGUAGGGAAUCUUCCGCAAUGGGCGAAAGCUUGACGGAGCAACGCCGCGUGAGUGAUGAAGGUCUUCGGAUCGUAAAACUCUGUUAUUAGGGAAGAACAAAUGUGUAAGUAACUAUGCACGUCUUGACGGUACCUAAUCAGAAAGCCACGGCUAACUACGUG
rnacentral:rRNA from 1 species